rnacentral:rRNA from 1 species
AGCGGCAGGCUUAAUACAUGCAAGGUUGAGGGGCAGCAUGAUAUACGCGAGUAUAUUGAUGGCGACCGGCGGACGGGUGAGUAAUAGGUAGGAGACCUACCUCAUACAGGGGGAUAGCAUAGAGAAAUCUGUGGUAAUACCCCAUGAGGUUAUAUGAAUAGAGGCAUAUAAUCAAAGCAUAAGCGAUUAUGCGGUAUGAGAGGGGCCUACUGACCAUUAGCUAGUUGGUGAGGUAAGGGCUCACCAAGGCGAAGAUGGUUAGGGGUUUUGAGAGAGAGACCCCCCCACAUUGGAACUGAGAGACGGUCCAGACUCCUACGGGAGGCAGCAGUAGGGAAUAUUGGGCAAUGGGCGGAAGCCUGACCCAGCCAUGCCGCGUGAAGGAAGACGGCCUUAUGGGUUGUAAACUUCUUUACUAUGCGACUAACUAGAUUUACGAGAUAAUUCUAUAGAAUGUAGCAUAGCAAAAAGCACCGGCUAACUCCGUG